rnacentral:rRNA from 1 species
GACGAACGCUGGCGGCGUGCCUAAUACAUGCAAGUUGAGCGCUGAAGGUUGGUACUUGUACCAACUGGAUGAGCAGCGAACGGGUGAGUAACGCGUGGGGAAUCUGCCUUUGAGCGGGGGACAACAUUUGGAAACGAAUGCUAAUACCGCAUAAAAACUUUAAACACAAGUUUUAAGUUUGAAAGAUGCAAUUGCAUCACUCAAAGAUGAUCCCGCGUUGUAUUAGCUAGUUGGUGAGGUAAAGGCUCACCAAGGCGAUGAUACAUAGCCGACCUGCGAGGGUGAUCGGCAACAUUGGGACUGAGACGCGGCCCAAACUCCUACGGGAGGCAGCAGUAGGGAAUCUUCGGCAAUGGACGAAAGUCUGACCGAGCAACGCCGCGUGAGUGAAGAAGGUUUUCGGAUCGUAAAACUCUGUUGGUAGAGAAGAACGUUGGUGAGAGUGGAAAGCUCAUCAAGUGACGGUAACUACCCAGAAAGGGACGGCUAACUACGUG